rnacentral:rRNA from 1 species
UACAGAGGGUGCAAGCGUUGUUCGGAAUUAUUGGGCGUAAAGAGCUCGUAGGCGGUUUGUCGCGUCGACUGUGAAAACCCGAGGCUUAACCUCGGGCCUGCAGUCGAUACGGGCAGACUAGAGUUCGGUAGGGGAGACUGGAAUUCCUGGUGUAGCGGUGAAAUGCGCAGAUAUCAGGAGGAACACCGGUGGCGAAGGCGGAUCUCUGGGCCGAUACUGACGCUGAGGAGCGAAAGCGUGGGGAGCGAACAGG